ACGUGACUCCCGGCCCUAAAAGCUCCCCUACACUGGCCUGAGCCGGCUGGUUAGCAACACCCCCUUCACAGGCUCCUUAAAGGGCAUUUGGUGACCGAGUGAGUGGAAUUUCAGAAAUGCUGAAGACUCGAACUCGAGCCAAAUUAUCACUCAAGAAUGAGGACAAACUGAAGUUACUUUCAGAUAUGCAAGGGCUGAAAGCUGAACACACACAAACCUUUCUGGGAGAAAAACUUCUCAGAAAUAUUGCUUAGUGACCAAACACAACAAAUCCAUGGAGAAAGACACAAGAAGCAGCACUGCGGAGAGGGGCCAGCAGAUUGUAAGACACAAGAAACAGCACUGCGGAGAGGAGCCAGCAGAAAAUACAGCUCGCCCAAAUGAGGACAGGCAACCUAACAGACUGUAUCACAAGAAGAACUGUGAAAAGGGGCAGAGCACUAAAAAUAGAUUCCUAAUAGCACAGGCAACAGAGACAAAUGGGACUACAUCAAACUUAAAAAUUUCAGAGCAGGAAAAACCAAUAGAGUAAAAAAUGGGAAAAAAUAGCUGCAAUCCAGGAUCUGCAUAUGAAGCUACUAUCCCGAAUGCACUUUUAAAAACUCCUACAACUCCACAACCAAAGGAAAUCUUCAAUUUUAAAACGGGUGAAGGACUUAAGACACUUCUACAGAGAAGAUAAACCAAUGGCCAUCUUGCCAUACAUGACAAGAUGCUCCACACGACCAACCACCCAGCAGACCCAAGUGCAAACGUGAGACAUCCCCUCGUGCCUGCUAGGACGGUGAUCGCUAAACACCAAAAGCUACGCCAUGGCAGGAAGCGGAGCAGCGGGACCCGCAUGCAGGGCCAGGGAAUGUGCCCGGCGCAGUGUGGAGAGCAGCGAGGCAAUUCCUCAGAACGUUAGGCACUAGGCUCCUGAGUCCCCAGCAGGCCACGAGAACUGAAGGCAGGGUCCCAGGAGGUAUCUGCACAGCUGUGUUCAUGGCAGCCACGAGGCAGAAGCAACCCAAAUGUCCAUCACCAGGGGAAUGAAAGAAGAAAACGUGGCAGUCACACGCCACAUAAUGACAUUUUGGUCAACAACAGACCGUACAGGUGAUGGUGGUCGCAUUAAGAUUAGGACACUGCAUUCUCACUGCAUCUUUUCUAUGUCUCAACAUGUACGAUGCAAACCACCACCAUGGAACAGCCGCCUGUGGUAUUCAGCAGUGACAGGCUGUACAGGUUUGCAGCCCAGGAGGGUUGUACCACGUGUACACACAGGCUGUACCACGGUGCGAGCAUGCAGCAGCCACACCGUCUGGGCUCCUGUGAGUUAGUUCGUUCUACGAUGUUCGCACGGUGAAGUCGCCUAACGAUGCAUUUCUCAGAGCUUUUCCAUCCUCGCUAAAAAUCAGUUCCCACGAAUACACGGGUUCACAUGUGGACUGAUUCCACCCCGCUGAUGUGCAUCGACCCCUCCGCCAGCACCGUGCAGUCUUCAUCACCACGGCUCCGUGGAAAGCGCUGAGGUCAGGAAGCGCAGGCCUCACAACUGCUUUCUCAAAGAUGGCUCCUCGCAUUGCCACAUGAAUUUUCAAAACAGCUGUCAAUGUCCACAAAAAGGCCAGCUGAGAUUUUGACACAAAAAUCUAUUGAAUCUGUAGGUCAACUAGGGGAGUAUUGCUGUCUUAAUAACAGUAAGUGCUAUUUCUAAGCAUCUUAUUAUUUUGGUGCUGUUGUAAAUAACAUUUUAAUUUCCUUUUUGAUCAUUUCCAAGGUAAAGAAAUAUAACAUAUUUUUACUUAUCUUGUAUUGUGCAAUCUUGACGAACUAGUUUAUUAAUACUACCAGUUCCCAAGCGUAUUCCUUAGGAAUUCUAUAUAGAAGAUCAUGUCAUCUGCAACUACAACUUUACAUUUUCUUUUCCAGUCUGAAUGUCUUUUAUUUAUUUUCCUUGCCUAACUGUCCUAGAGCCCCCAGGAUGAUGCCAAAUGUAAAGGGAACUGACAUCUUUCAUCUUGUUGCUGUUCUUAGGAGGAAAGUGUUACUGUUUGGCAUGAAGCAAGAUGUUAGCUGUGGGUUUUCCACAGAUGCCCUUCAUCAGAUUGAGGAAGUUCCUUUCUAUUCCCAGUUUUUUCAGGAUAGGAGUGUUUGUAUGAUGAAAAGGUGUUGGAUUUUGUAAAGUGCUUUUGUUGCAUCUAUUGAGAUGAUUAGGUGGUGGUUGUCCUUCAUUCUAUUAAUAUGAGACAUGACAUUGAUUUUCAUGCAUUGAACCAACCUUGCAUUUCUGGGGGAAAUCCUACUUAGUCCUGACACAUAAUCCUUUCUAUAUGUUACCAGAUUCAGUUUGCUAAGAUUUUGUUAAAGAUGAUGGCAUCUAUUUCUUUCAACUGGAACGAUGGUCUGUGGCUUUGUGAUGUAUUUGUCUGGUUCAAGGUUAUAUCAAGGUGAUACUGGCCUCACAGAAGGAGUUGGGAUGUACUCCCUCCUUAACUGCUUUUAGCAAGAGUUAGUGUAAAUUCUUCUUUAGUGUUCAACAGAAUUCAUCAGUGAAACCAUCUGGUCCUGGGCUUUUCUUUGUGAGGUUUUUUGUAGUAACCACCUGUUAUAGGUCUAUUCAGUCAUCACUUUUAACUUACAAAAAUAACAACUAUAUAUGGUUCAACCUAACAUAUUUUUCCUUCUACACAUUUUGUCUGUGUCCCUUGUCCAAUGCUUAUUUGUUUUUAUUUACUUAUUCACUUACUUAUUCCUUCAUUCACACAGGGUCUCACGCCGCUGUUCAGGCUGGAGCCCAGUGACACAAUCAUAGCUCACUGCAGCCUUGAGCUCCUAGCUCAAGUGAUCCUCCUGCCUCAGCCUCCCAAAGUGCUGGGAUUACAGGCAUAAGCCACUGUGCCUGGCUUGGUAUUUGCUUUUAAAUUCUGGUUCUAUCUUAUCUGGUUAUACCAAAUAAUUAAACUUUUAUUUAUCACAUCUCCCCAAUUUUUCCUAAGUAAUUUGUUGCAUUACAGCUUUUUACAAUCACAGGAUUUCUCAACUUAGCGAAUGUUAAAUUACGUUUUCUCCAAUACAUCUUCCCCUUCGGUGACUCAAAGAAGUAAUCCUCCCUGAUUUCGUCACUGAAACAGAAUGUGGCAAGCAGCGUGAGUGGAGACAUGCGUGAAACGUCUGCACCUGCUUGCCCGCUGCCCCCACACUGUGCCAUCAGCUUCAGGAUGUGCUUCCUCAAACGUUCUCCAGCCUUUGCCGUGCUUCUCUGACAGAAUUUGCUGACAAAAAGAAACGCAUUUUAGUGUGUCAUCAUCAUGUUUUCACCAACACAGGAAGGAAGAAUUUCCCCAAUGGCAUAAGGCUCUUUGUCUUUUGCAAUUAACCAUAAGAGGUUUCUAAAUAGUGAUUACGAAGCUCAUCACAGGGCCAGAAGUGCUGGAUUAAGCCCUGGGUGGCAGUUUGCAUCACCCUCCAUCCUGGAGGGCCCAGUCUCAUGUUCUGGUGCAGGGCAUGUAAUCACGGUGGCUUCCUGCCAUCCUGAGCUAAUCUCCCCAAGCACAGCACAUACCCUGAGGGAGGCUCACAAAGGACAAAAAUGCUUCAAAUCCCCCAAGAGGCUUCUUGAAAAAAACGACACUUCCAGUCAACUUCUGAGGGGAUGUGACCAGAUUGACGUUGCGCCCUACAAAGUUCAUGGUGGGAAGCCCACUGUUGGCCCUGAGCUCCGCACUCCCAGUUAGGCUCAGCCUUAGCCAGCUGCUUCCUUGCAGGAACCUUUUUAAGCCACUGAUCCAUUUUGGAAAGGGUAUGCGACCUGUGACAGCGGCACACACACACACAACGCAGCACCAGACUUGGAAGCCAGCAGCGUGGAAGAGCCAGGGCCGUGCCCCACGCAGUCCAGUGCCCUCAUUCCUGGGUCACUCUCUAACCAAACGACACACAGACCACAAGUGGGUAGGAAUGUCAGUUAAUAUACACGACAUUAGCAGAGCUUCCUUCCUCACCUUUCCGUAAAAUAUUUCAAAGGAAGCCAGCUGUUCUGCCACAAAGUCACGACUUUGGCAGUUACACACCUGGCUGUUGUGUCUGGCAGGGCCCAGCCCUUCUUGGUGUCCCUUUCAUUAUAAAUAAGAAAUGUUUUAUCAAACACAAAAGGAGCAACAUGAUAUCAUUACGGUUUCAUGCAGAAACACGGCAUCCUCUGCUAGUGCCAAUCUUCCUUCAGGCCUUUACUGAAAUAGCACCGUGGCAGUCAGGCUGCCUGCUAAGGACACUGUUGGAUUGUCUGUUUCUGCUACUUUGGGUUAUGGUGAAUGGGAUGUGUUCUAACUGGCUGGCGGUGGUAUAGAGAACAGCGAUUGGGUUUCAUGCACUUAC